rfam:Limnothrix sp. P13C2 contig_2, whole genome shotgun sequence.
GCGGGUGUAGUUCAGUGGUAGAACGUCAGCUUCCCAAGCUGAAUGUCGUGGGUUCGAGUCCCAUCACCCGCU